GAAAACACUAGUGGAAAAACAUAAGUGAGCACCGACGAAUAAGCACCGAUUAUCCAAAACCGAUGCAUGCCAAAAACGCAAGUAUAGAUCCAAAAAAAAAAAAAAAAAAAAAAAAAAGAGGCUUAAAAGGUUACAAAGGGCACCGGUAAACCGAUGCCCUUACUAUGUUAUUACUUCCGUAUUUUUUUCUUAUUACUCCUUCCUAACAUACAGUAGCAUCCCCCCCUCUCUCCCCCCUCACAGCUAGCAUUCCUCUCGCCUCCUUUUUCUUGACUCCACCGCUGGCCCACACUCUAUCUCAUUCUUCUAUCUCCUUAUUCCCUUCUUUCUUUCUUUCACUCUCUCUCCUCACAGCACUGAGGAUGGCUGCCUUGACGAGUCACCAUAAUGAGCAUCAACGAUUGUGAUUCGUUUUUUAAUGAUGAUCGAAGCUCCAUUGUUGAAGAAGGGCAACCACGAAAGAAUUUAGGGAAGCCGACACUCCUCCUGGGGCAUCUUUGGAAGGCCAAGAUAGGUAGUCUAUAUUCAUCCAGUGUCUCAUGACUUGAUUCAGACUUCUAGAACUCUCUCAUCACAAGCUCCACAUACUAAACCUCAGCUCAGAAGUUUCCCUACUAUGAGUCUAUAUGCCCAAUCCUCAUAUCACAAGAUGAACCUGCGCAUAGACAUAAGGGGGAAAAUCUGCCUGCUAAGCGUGUGUCUCUUGCUGAAUUUCCCAAGCUUAGAAAAAAUAUUGAUGCUGCAGCUUUUUUUUUUUUUUUUUUAAAUGUAAAAUUA